UGGAGCAUUUUAGAAGCAAGUCUCCGGAUGUCUUUUGGCUUCCCCUUGGAGAUGAGUGUGCACGGCUCGCAGGGCAGCUUUCUGGAACGGGUAGUCAGCACCUGCUUCCCUACAUCCUGUUAGAUCACAGGCCUGGACUCCAGGUUCAGCAUGCGCAUGGACAUCGGCUACGUCUUCGUUCCCCGCAGCUCCACCACACCCACAGUCCCAGCCACUAAAAUGAAUUUCUUGAUGAAGAUUUCCAGGUUUCCUCGAACCUGGCCAGGGUGGGUUUAGGCGUGGACUCACAAGAGGUCCGCGUCGCCUUGGCUGUGGGGGUGGGAGGCUGUGCCGGACAUCCAGUGGUGCCUGUUGAGCUCGCUGAGGGACAGCCUGGCAAACACGCCCUUGCCCCGCUGCCUGCCAACCAGUUCAGCACGCGCAGGGGAUGGAAUCUUCCUCCAAGAAGGAACAGCUCUUCAGUCCUGUCCUGACAGCGCAUGGGCUCCGGAAACAGGGCAGGGCCCGGGCUGACGCUGGGCCUGUCGUCUUCCAGCCUGGCAGACUCCCGCCGUGCACUGCAAUACCGAUCUGUCCUCGUCCUCAGCCUUCUCACAUGCCCAGGCGGCUCGGGUUCCCGGGAGGCACUUUCUGGCACAUUCCAACAGGUGCUCAUACUCCAACCCACCCCAGCCAGCACCACGAGGUGGGGCGUGUAGUCUUUUCUCAGGCGGGAAUUAAGUCCCUCUCCACAGAUCUUUGCUGUAUUUUUGUGGCACUGAGGCAGUGGAGACCAACUGUGUUUUCCGGGUAAGCAGCCUCAGGGGUCACCUCCGGGAGAAGCGGUUCCGGGUCAGGACGCGGUUCGAGGUUCAGGCGUUCGCGCCGACUCUGUGCCUUCCUCUGUGAGCCUGCGUGCGGGACCUCGCCGGACACGCCCGCCGCGUGCGGACCUUUACCAGCCGCAUGCGGUGCUCUCGCCGCCUGGCCGCCACCCGGAAGAGACCUGUGCUUUUGGAGAACCCAGUUGGUAUGCGUGAGAAGCCCUAGCCAUAUGGAGAGGUCAUGUGUUGACGCCAGUCAGUUGCCUCAGUGAAGACCAGCCUUUGAAUCACUACAGCCAUCCCAUGAUACAUUAAGUGAAGAAGCCUCCAGAUGAUUACAGCCUUUAACUAUAUCAGGAAAAACAUUUUGUGCCCUACCUUUAUUGAGAGAUUAUUUUUAAAUGAUUGAAGAAGACAGGGAGAGACUGUACUCCUGAGAUGGGUCUAUUGAUUGCGAGACAGUACCAGGAAGACUUCUGGGGUGCUUGUAUUACUCCAUAUCCUGAUCUGGAGUUGCAAUUACCCCUGGGAAGAAGGCUCCACUGCCCAAGCACACAGCUGUAAUCUUCAGAAGACUACCCUUUGGCCAAACCUGCAUAGAGCUGGAGGUGCCAGGGAAGUUGUGUCUCUCAAAGGGCAGCCUACAUCCAGUGACUGACCGAUGAGGAAGAGUGAAAGCCCAGCUCCUUUUCCUCAAGACAAGCAAAAUGCAGUAUGAUUAGCAACACAGUCAUCUGACAAGUCCCUCAGCCACCAGGACACCCACCAAAGGCUGUGAUGAUGGGGGCAAGGAAUGAUGUUCAGGAAAGGUCUGAAGCACAAGCCUUGCCUGGAAAGGUUAUAAAUGUCAACCAAUUUGAAGAUAUGGAAAAGGAGAGAGAAAAAUGGAACAAAUUUCAGAGAAGAGGCACAGCUGAUGAGAACAGCAUUCUUAUCAAUGAGGUUUUUAAAUAUCAAGUUUCCAUCACACUGAAAGGGAUCAGCUGUGAAUCUGUGGGACGGUUUCUUUCAUACUUGGCAUUUCCUGGCUCCUGACAGUUCCUUGUGAGUGACUACUGGACACCUGGGUUCCAUUUGGGACCCAAGGCUUUACAUCAUCUGUGAACCAGGUGGAGUGAACAGCAGAGCUGGUGUUGGAGGAAUUUGAGAAUAGGUGAAAGAGACUCCACGGAGUUCUCAUUCUCUCAUUGUAGGAAUUCUAGAAAGUUACCUGGUUGCAAUAAAAAUGCCUACUGCUGCCCUUU